GACUCCUACGGGAGGCAGCAGUAGGGAAUAUUGCACAAUGGAGGAAACUCUGAUGCAGCCAUGCCGCGUGUGUGAAGAAGGCCUUCGGGUUGUAAAGCACCUUCGGAGGGGAGGAAGAAAAUGACGUUACCCUCAGAAGAAGCACCGGCUAACUCCGUGC
rnacentral:rRNA from 1 species